rnacentral:rRNA from 1 species
GAUGAACGCUGACAGAAUGCUUAACACAUGCAAGUCAACUUGAACUUCGGUUUGGGUGGCGGACGGGUGAGUAACGCGUAAAGAACUUGCCUCACAGAUAGGGACAACAUUUGGAAACGAAUGCUAAUACCUGAUAUUAUGAUUUUAGGGCAUCCUAGGAUUAUGAAAGCUAUAUGCACUGUGAGAGAGCUUUGCGUCCCAUUAGCUAGUUGGAGAGGUAACGGCUCACCAAGGCGAUGAUGGGUAGCCGGCCUGAGAGGGUGAUCGGCCACAAGGGGACUGAGACACGGCCCUUACUCCUACGGGAGGCAGCAGUGGGGAAUAUUGGACAAUGGACCAAGAGUCUGAUCCAGCAAUUCUGUGUGCACGAUGAAGUUUUUCGGAAUGUAAAGUGCUUCCAGUUGGGAAGAAAAAAAUGACGGUACCAACAGAAGAAGUGACGGCUAAAUACGUGCCAGCAGCCGCGGUAAUACGUAUGUCACAAGCGUUAUCCGGAUUUAUUGGGCGUAAAGCGCGUCUAGGUGGUUAUGUAAGUCUGAUGUGAAAAUGCAGGGCUCAACUCUGUAUUGCGUUGGAAACUGUGUAACUAGAGUACUGGAGAGGUAAGCGGAACUACAAGUGUAGAGGUGAAAUUCGUAGAUAUUUGUAGGAAUGCCGAUGGGGAAGCCAGCUUACUGGACAGAUACUGACGCUGAAGCGCGAAAGCGUGGGUAGCAAACAGG